AGUCGAGCGCGAACCCGCAAGGGGGAGAGCGGCAAACGGGGUAGGAUAGAGUCGGUAACGUACCCUUAGGACGGGGAUAGCUACGGGAAACUGUAGGUAAUACCCGAUAAUCUCUUCGAAGGUAAGGCUUUGGGGAGCAAAGGUGAGAUUCCACCUGAGGAGCGGCUGACUUAGUAUUAGCUAGUUGGUGAGGUAAUGGCUCACCAAGGCAAUGAUGCUUAGGGGGUGUGAGAGCACGACCCCCACCACUGGGACUGAGAUACUGCCCAGACACCUACGGGUGGCUGCAGUCGAGAAUCUUCGGCAAUGGGCGAAAGCCUGACCGAGCGACGCCGCGUGUGGGAUGAAGGCCCUUGGGUUGUAAACCACUGUCAGAGGGGAUGAAAUGCGGAAGGGUUCUCCCUUUCGUUUGACAUAGCCUCAGAGGAAGCACGGGCUAAGUUCGUGCCAGCAGCCGCGGUAAUACGAACUGUGCAAACGUUAUUCGGAAUCACUGGGCUUAAAGGGUGCGUAGGCGGCGUGUUAAGUAGGGUGUGAAAUCCCUCGGCUCAACCGAGGAACUGUGCCCUAAACUGGCAUGCUUGAGUGAGAUAGGGGUGUGUGGAACUUCCAGUGGAGCGGUGAAAUGUGUUGAUAUUGGAAGGAACGCCGGUGGCGAAAGCGACACACUGG
rnacentral:rRNA from 1 species